rnacentral:sRNA from 1 species
ACCGGACUCACUCUAAUCCCACCACCACCAUGGCUACCAUAACUAUAACCUCCAUAGCUUUUCUUCAAUGGUGGUUUCGAAAAACCAUUAUUACUCAAAGAAGACGAAGCAGAAGAAGAAGAAGACAACGAUGAAGAUUGUUGUAAC